GGUGAGAACAUAGGGAAAACCAGAGUUUAUGUAAUGCACCUCCAUCUGCCAGUAAUUCAUCUGAGACUAUUUUUCUGUUAUCAAAAAGAAAUGCGCAAGCAUUUAGUUCAAAUUCAUCACGUUCCUCAAGAGGAUCAAGAUCUUAAGGAUCUUAAGGAGAAAUUUCACCAUAUACCCUUCUGAUCUUUAGCAAUCAACCAUUUAACAUGAAGAUUGGAUUUGCCUGUGCUACUUCAUCCCGCAAUACAAAUUCUGCGGAUGUCGCUUUGGGUCACUUUCCAAGAAUUUCCCCACCACACUGCAAGAGCAAGAAACAAACAGAGAGGUUAGAUCUCAAGGCAAGAAUCAUCCAAGGCUCCCAAUUAAACGAUUGCAUCACGUCCUGUCCUCUUAUAGAUCCAAGAACCAACGUCAAAAAGAUAUCAGCAUUGUAAUGCAUCCAUAACUAUCUACUGGGGGAACUGUUUUUGUGCACACUGGAAGAGAGAUAUGCUCGAGGAGGGGAAUCUUACUAGCAGAGUAGCGCGGGAGAGAUCAAAACUC
rnacentral:lncRNA from 1 species